GGCUGGUCUGAGUGCAGUGGUGUUUAUAACUUAUUGAUCACAACCAGUUACAAAUUUCUUUGCUCCUUCUCCACUCCCACUGCUUCAUAUGACUAGCCUUAA
rnacentral:Y_RNA from 1 species